rnacentral:rRNA from 1 species
AUACGUAGGGGGCGAGCGUUGUCCGGAAUUACUGGGCGUAAAGGGCGUGUAGGCGGCCGACUAAGUCUGGAGUGAAAGUCCUGUUUUCAAGGUGGGAAUUGCUUUGGAUACUGGUUGGCUUGAGUGCGGAAGAGGUAAGUGGAAUUCCCAGUGUAGCGGUGAAAUGCGUAGAGAUUGGGAGGAACACCAGUGGCGAAGGCGACUUACUGGGCCGUAACUGACGCUGAGGCGCGAAAGCGUGGGGAGCGAACAGGAUUAGAUACCCUGGUAGUCCACGCUGUAAACGAUGAAUGCUAGGUGUUGCGGGUAUCGACCCCUGCAGUGCCGGAGUAAACACAAUAAGCAUUCCGCCUGGGGAGUACGGCCGCAAGGUUGAAACUCAAAUGAAUUGACGGGG